GAAAGAGGACAAGAAGCAAUAAGAACUGCUAAUUCUUACCCCUGAGGUUAAAAUCCUCAGCUCAUUCA
rnacentral:tRNA from 1 species